ACUAUUUUUGGCAUAAUUACCCUUCUAGUAAAACUGUUUAUGUGUGAAAAAAAAAAAACAAUGAUAAAAGAAAAUUGAGAGAAAUAAAAUGCUUUAUUAAUUAUAUCAGUAACAUGCAAAUUACUGCAGCAACAUUUAUCCAAUUAGAGUUAGAAAUUGCACUGCAGGUGUAGAUCGUCCAAUUGAGGGUGAUCAGCAAUGAUGCUGACUCCGCCCACUGGGAGACGCAGACGAGACAGAGAAGGAACAGAAACGCAUGAAAACAAAGCUUAAGAAUUCUGUGUUGAAACGAUCUAAUUUUGAGAAUUUAUUAGUGAACAACUACUGAACAAAGUAUAUAAAAGUUAUUUAGAGUUAAAUUGCUUACCGAAUUGAGUAGUUUUGUGAAAGAGCUUGUUGUGGCCUUGUUGAUCCGGAGCCUCGAGCCAAAGUUGGUCAGCGUCGUCACCGUAGUUCGUGGUGCAAUCUGAAAAAAAAGAUUAACAAAACACUUAAUUCAAAGGAAUCGGCCAGUUUUUGUUGUAUAUGUAGAAGUUUGGAUUUUCCGCUGUGAUUCACGCGCAUGGUGAGGAUUCAUCAAGCCGCAUUGAGAGAGAAAAGAAAGAUGGCGAGCCCCCAGACUGAAUUUGGAUCUCUGAUUUCCUAUCAUCUUAUCCACUUCGUGGUAUCGUUUGUUUUUCCCUUCUGAACUCUGAUGGACUCAGGUAUAUUUUUUUGAACUGAAUUUUCGAAUGGACUAUUUUUCUAAUAUUGAAUGGACUGAGGUAUAUAUCUUUCUGAACUGAGGUGAACACUAUUUACAAUUUAUUUUGUUUAUGUAUAUAUUUCUGAAAAGUGUUAUUUGGUUAUAUACACAUUGUAAAUUUUGAGGUAACCAUUCAGGUUACUCUAAUUGAAUCAUCUUGGUUACAGUAUUGAUUUGAGUUUGCAUUUGAAGCAAGAGAGUCAAACUACAGUAAAGGCAGGAGAAUUAGAAAUCUUAAAAUUGAAACUAAACAUAUUAAUCUAUAAAAAAAUAUUUAAAUUAGAAAACCAAUAAUUUUCAAACCUAAGCCAGGAGAAAGAAAAGAGGGAAAUUAUCAAUCAAAGAGUCAACAAAGGAAAGGUUUUGUUGAAUUCAUUUUAUUUGUUUUUUUUGGUUUAUUAAUUUCUUCCAAGUAAGAACUUGAUUAUAGUUGGUCAUAUUGUAUUUUUUGUUUCCCCUUUUUGUUAAAAGUUGACAUUUCAUUGGGUUUAUCUUUGUCAUUUAUUAUUUACUGUUCAUCACAUCAACAUUUCAAUCA